UACGUAGGGGGCAAGCGUUGUCCGGAAUCAUUGGGCGUAAAGCGCGUGUAGGCGGCCCGGUAAGUCCGCUGUGAAAGUCGGGGGCUCAACCCUCGAAUGCCGGUGGAUACUGUCGGGCUAGAGUGCGGGAGAGGCGAGUGGAAUUCCUGGUGUAGCGGUGAAAUGCGCAGAUAUCAGGAGGAACACCAAUUGCGAAGGCAGCUCGCUGGAACGUAACUGACGCUGAGACGCGAAAGCGUGGGGAGCAAAUAGG
rnacentral:rRNA from 1 species